AAGGGUAUAGCUCAGGGGAAGAGUGUGUGCUUAGCAGGCACAAGGUCCUGGGUUCAAUUCACAGUACCUCUA
rnacentral:tRNA from 1 species